rnacentral:lncRNA from 1 species
GUUCCUCUUCUCUUUCAGGGGAUGGAGGGUAGGGACCACGUUGUAGAGCCGUCACCUCUCGCCUCCUCUUCUCUUGUCCCACCAGGACUGAGCCUGUGCCUGGCACAUCAUCACUCACAGACGUGAUGCUGAGUGGCUGAGACCGAACAGCAACAAGACCAAGCUCUUUGGGAAAGCCUCAGAGCCCCCGAAGGCUACGUCAGGAGCCGGUCCCCGCACGCCGGGCGUUCUGGGAUGUGCUCAUUUAUCCUUGGGGUCCUCACCGUCUCUCACGGUGCUGGGGAAGAAUCUCUCUGUGGGGAUGAUUUGUGGAGGAAAAACCUGGCCGAGUUUCACAUGUGAAGGGAUCAGACGUGUCAUCUGUGACAGGGUGGCUGCAGAGG